UACGAGGGGGGCAAGCGUUGUUCGGAAUUAUUGGGCGUAAAGGGCGCGUAGGCGGUGCGGUAAGUCACCUGUGAAAACUCUGGGCUCAACUCAGAGCCUGCAGGCGAAACUGCCGUGCCUUGAGUUGUGGGAGAGGGCGCGGUGGAAUUCCCGGUGUACGCGGUGAAAUGACGUAGAUAUCGGGAGGAACGACCUGUGGC
rnacentral:rRNA from 1 species